rnacentral:rRNA from 1 species
UACAGAGGUCUCAAGCGUUGUUCGGAUUCAUUGGGCGUAAAGGGCGCGUAGGCGGUGCGGUAAGUCUUUUGUGAAAUCUCCGGGCUCAACUCGGAGUCUGCAAGAGAAACUGCCGUGCUGGAGUAUGGGAGAGGUGAGUGGAAUUCCCGGUGUAGCGGUGAAAUGCGUAGAUAUCAGGAGGAACACCGGUGGCGAAGGCGCUCAUCUGGCCCAAUACUGACGCUGAAGCUCGAAAGCUAGGGGAGCAAACGGG